AAUUGAACUGUAAGUCUCACUAAAUUUCAAAUAUGUUGGUGCGACAGAGUCCCAAAGUGGGUACAUUAUAUUGCUCAUGGCUGUACGUACAAACUCCCCACUACGUAUUGUUCCCUGACGAUGACGUACGUGACCAAUCAAAUGACCCCUAGUGCGCGUCGCACUGCCUCUCGUGAGUCCUACACACCCGUGGUCGCGGGGGGCAGGGUGGCGCUGCUCACUCGCCUUGGCUGGCUGGUCGGUCUAGCGGUUACUAUUAGUAUACUACCUUCACGGUACAAAAAUAAUACGUCGGUUUAAAUAACCAUAAUUCAUGUAUUCUUCACGUCUGAAGUGAAACUUUAUUAUUGGUUUUACACUAAUAUUAUUCUGAAUAUCAGUACCAGUGUUGAAUGGAAGUUUGUGUUGCCAACCGUAAUAUACCGCAGUGCAGUUAACUUUAAGAGGCGUUGUUUAGCCUAUAUACAUUUCAUCAUCACGGAGCGUGGAGCAAGGGUCCUUGUAUAUGCCGGGUACCACUUCGCCAAGCAUCGCACUAAGGGUGAUAAGACUCGUUGGUUCUGCAGGACUCAUCGCAAGAUGGGAUGUAACGCAAUGCUCUACACUGUCGGAGACGUAUUCGUGCACGCGCUGGCCAAUCACAACCACCCGCCACUUGAUGAUUUCACUUGUUGAUCUUCAUCUUCUAUCGUGUGGGUUGUGAGGUGGACUACCAACCACAUCAACCCUGAUGUCAGGGUUACUAUUGAGCCGCCAAAGGCCCCUGACGUGAGUCGCUCAAUCUUCAUUACAUUAGAAAAUUGAAGAGGUUAUGAGAUUACAUAAAUAAUGUCGAUUAAUGCUGAUAAGCAAGGUUCUCUUACUGCACUAUCUGAAGAAACUUAUAAUGAAGUAUACAUCAGACAUCGUCAGAGAAGCUGCUGGAGCGUACGGCGGUUGAAGUUCUUGGAUCUCAAGUCUUCUUCUAGAAGUUUGGAUAACAUCUGGAAGAGCUAGGAACUCAGCUUUUUUCAAGAAAAACAACAUGCGUUUUAUUUUAAUAAAAAUCCAGUGUUCAUGACGAGUAGUCGAGGCGCACGAAUGAUCAUGAUGAACGGAUAUAAGUACCGUAUACAUAGGAACCAAGGGGCCAAAAUCCGUUGGUGGUGUACAUUCGUCCAUCAUGGCUGCAAAGCCGUCAUCUUCACCUUAGACGAUGAAAUCGUGAAGUUUAAUAAUGACCACAACCAUCCCCCUUAUAUACCUCCCAAUUUUGUCAUUGGGUGAUGGUACCAAAGUUAUGGUAAAAGUAUGAUGGUUGUGGCGUUCGUUGCCCAGUAUUUGAAGUUUUUGAAGUAUCAAUUAUAUUCAUUCAAAAUUUAAGAGUUAGUCGUUUGUUGGUGAAGUUCUUUCUACAUUUGCCAACAUACAUACAUAAAUAAACUCACGCCUAUUUUGCACCGUAUGUAUCUUUUCCUCUAAUAAAACUUGAAGUAACCAAUAUCAAUAAUAUAACCAAAUAAAAUAAUAGUCAUAUAUUAUA